GGUAGCGUGGCUGAGCGGUGUAAGGCACUGGAUUUAGGCUCCAGUCUCUUUGGAGGCAUGGGUUUGAGUCCCACCGCUGCCA
rnacentral:tRNA from 2 species